ACCCUCAGAAACAAGUAGAGUCCCUUUCCUACUCACCCCAGGUGCACCAUUUAUAUCUCACAACACCCAGCUGUGACUCCAGAACUUAUGCCCUUCACCUGGGAUGGUGGGUGGAGCCCAGGGGAGUCAAAAUCUUUUAAGGGAGAGUUCAAGCCAGAAAGAUCUAAGUUUUUUUUUCCUGUGAGUGGCUAGUGAGGGCUCUCUGGUGGUGGGAUGAUACUGAUUGUCAGCAGUUGAUAGUGUAGUUUCCAGCAAAGUCUCUCUCUUUUGCUGACUUCUAUUUAAUAGGCCUUGGGAUAUUUAAAAAAAAACACCAACCUUAGAUCUGGUGUAGAGGGCUUUGUUUUGACUUUCUGGUUAUAGCUUAGUAUUUUUGUUUUAGCUACAGUGGGGCUCUGAGGUGGGGCAUAUCUGCAGGAAAGGGUAUCAAGGACCUAGAAGCUGUUCCUGGUACCUUCUGUCAGAUGCUGUGAUUAGAGUGUUAGUCAUCAGAGGCUUGGGUUCAAGUCCCUCUUGUAUUUAGAGCAGGGUCUAAACUUUCUCUGUACUUCUAGGCUGAUGUGAGGAAGAAGGACUAUGGGACAAAGUACUGAAGGCUUUGAAAGCCUCAGAAGAGUGCUACUCCUCUUGUCAAAGCAGCUCUGAUAAAGGUGGCAAAAAGACUGACGAAGCAGUAGAUAACGAAGAAGACGGGUCAGCCCCUGGUGUGACCUGGACUGCCUCACAGAGCACGUGCAGACGGUAGUUUUUUAGCGCAGCCAGAGCGACGGCCAAGGAUGCAACGCUGGGAUUUGCAAUGGGGAUAAAACGAAGUGUCACCUUCAGGAGGACCUCUUCUGCUGUGGAAGCUGUCCCUUUUCUUUUCCUCUGCUAUCUGGUGUAUAAAAUGCGGAGCUCUAGAAGAUAAUGCCUCCUCUGGCAAAAAGUGUUUAAAUACCUCUGCUUCACCUAGUCACCUUGUCAGAGCACCUUCUCUACUUGCCCAUAGGAUUCUCUGCUAUGACAUUCACAGUGACACUAAAAGUAGUUUUGAUGAGUUGUGGAGACCCUGGUGCUGAGCCUCCUACCCAAAGGACCUUCUCACUACGGCAGGCCUGGAAAAGGCAGUCAGUGGCAUAGAGGGAAGAAAGAGGACAGAGGUUUCCACAGGGUGGAGGUCUUCUCUGGUGAUCAGUAAACAUUGGGAAAAGGAGACAAGCUGGAAGGCUAAGCCAAAACUCUUCAGAAAUUCCCAUUGACAGAGAGAGGACUCAGAGGCGGUUCCAGCUGCACACCUGACUUUUGGAUGGCUGAAGCUGGGUGAGAUGUAUCCCAGCCUCAGCAGAAGCUUCCUCCAUGUCACGCUGCAGUCCUGCGUUGCAUCCCACUGCUCAGUUGCACUGGCGUAGUGCAUCGAGCCACUCUGCGGGUGUUCCACAAACAGGGAAAAUUUGGAAGGAAAUUGGGAAAAUGGAGCAGCCAAGAGUUUCUAAAAGGUCUCGGUGAGUGAUGGUUUCUGUGCGGUCUGAAAACUGCCCUGCUCUCACUUAGGCAUUUGCAAGGCCAGGACAGUUUCAGGGGCACAGAACCCCAAAUUAAGCACAAUUUCAGUAACUGCUCUCAGAGACCAAGUCGCUGAUACUUAUGAACGUCUACGGUUCUCAUAGGCUUAAAGGAAGGUAAAAUACUAAUAAUAUUAAAAAAAAAAAUCUCAACUGCAGGAGAGAAAAAAAAAAACCAUCUUGCAGCUGCAUUUUAGCAAAUUACACUGGCUUAAGAAUUGCUCCUAAUAUUACCGUGAGGAAUACUACUGGAAACCAGCAAUAUACUUAAAAACAGGGAAAACUUGUAAUUCUUGCCAUUAUUACACACUUUUUUCAAUAUAUCAUUCCAAGGUUCCCUUGUCUUUGUUGAACUUCUCUCAUGUGCAGUAAUAUGGAGGACAACGAAAUACCCUCUGAAAAGAGAGAAGCCCUCAAAACUUUGCCUUAUUCCCUUUAGGUCAGACAGGGCAGGGAUGGAGAUAAGCACUGUAGCACAAGGCAAGGACAGCUUCAUACUGUCUGCAGUGCUGUGGCGUACGGGCAAAUCAUAAUCAAACACUGGUUGAAGGAGGCUUUGGAGAUGAUUCCUCCUGAAAAGAUGUCUUAAUCAACCGAUCGAGCAGAAUCGUGGUGAAACUCAUCAAGCCCUGUUCUGUCAGCUUAAAUGAACACACGUAUCAGUGACUGCACUUAAUGCUCAGCUGUGAUUCCACCCUGACCCAGUCAAGCUACUAAUUUACCCACAAAUAGCCACCUAAACCAGAAAAAGCUUCAGUUAAUGGGCACCAUUUCAAUAUGUUACAUUCAAUAGCAAGAGACUAAGACUAGUCUAAAAUUUGUGUUGCAUUAUUCUUUCAAUAUAUUUACCUGCCUUUCAGCACCUUUGUAUGUACUUUUUGCCUCUGAUUUAAUCCUUCCCUCUCUUUCCUUUCCUCUUCCUCUUUACCCCAUUCCUCUCCUGCUGUGAAGCAUGAGAGUCUGAAACAGUUAUUUUCAUUGAACUCCACAUUUCUGCCUCUUAACAGCAACUCAGCUCUAAUUUUUUAUUACAAAAAUCUGUACUCAGGCUCCUACAUGCAGCAUAUGUUACAUAAAUUUUAUUAACUAUAUUGCAAUAAUAUGUUUACUGUGAAGAAUAAAGCAAAUUAGCAUUCAGAUCGGUUACUAAAUAUAAUAUCCCCAACUUGAAAUGUUACACACACAUGAACUGUUACACACAUGAAGUGUUACACAUGCAACCGGGGUAUAUGUUCUUGUGAACCUAAUUUUAAUUUACAGGACUCUGGUAUAAUCUUUUAGUUGAUUAGCUAUUAAAAACACAACCAAAAUUAUUCCAAGUGUGUCUGCAUAGAAUAAUGUCCGGUUUUUAAAAUCUAAAUAAGGAAUGCCUUGAAAUUAAGACAUUUUUCGUAACUGCAAGUUAAGUGUUUAUUUAGAUUUUUUCUGAGAAGUACAGGUAGCUGAAAUGAUUUAAAGUACUGUAUGAUUCUCUGUCUCUGUUUCCUGAAGUAAUUCACCUUGCCUUCUGUAGCCACCUAUUCUGACAAAUAUUUACCACAGGCAGGCGUGUCCUCAAAGUCAGAAGGAACAAAACCCUUAUCCCCCAUGAAGGCAGUGGGAAGACAGUGGGAUGCACACUCUUCAUAACUCAAGAGUAGUGAUAUUAGACAUUAAAUGAAGGAAUUCAGAGCUGAAGAGGAACAUUGUGUAUUUUGAAAUUUCCACACACACGUGGCACACUUGAUCCUAAAGGGACAGUAUUCCUCUGUGUGGCCCAACACGGAUAUUGCGUUUUAAAUAACUAUACUAAAAUGUUAGAAAAUGUGACGGUUCGAUCUUUGUCUUGUUGUCUAACAUUGUAUUAUAAUUGAUUCACUCUCCUUUUAAAAAAUGGUUUUGGUUUCCCAGCAGUCAUGAAUUACGAGUAAGACGGACUAGAAAGCAAGCUCCAACUUUAGCAAUGUGAUAGUAUCUAACCUUCCUAUGACUUCCUUUACUUCUCUUGCUAAUCACUGAUACUUGAAGGUGAAAGAUGCACGUCAUGUCUAAUCCCAGAGGGACAUAUGAGUUUCAUAUCUUGAGGCUCAGUGUGAUCUUUUUUUUGCAUGCUAUGACUCUUUCUAGUUCUUGAUAAAGCUGUGCUUUGCAUUCUGUUUGGCUUCCAGUAUGCCGUUUGUGUGUUAUUUAUAAUGUGAUCUGCUGCAUUAUGGAAUACACUUUGCAUACUGCAGAGAUUCUUAAAAAAAUCAAUAAAUCUUUAGUCCUUUAAAAGGUUACACUGCCUUAGUCUGCAUUUGCCCCUUGAAAAAUAAGACCUUGGGCCAUGGCCAGGGCUUCUAGAACCUACUAUACUGCAAGUAGUAAAUAAUAAUUAUCUCAAGGCAAACACGGGUCUGACCAAGCCCAGGCUGUUCAGUUAUCCUUGUGCUGCCGCUUUGCUUCCUCUUACUGAACAAACCAUGAGGAGCAGGGUAACGCGAAAGGGGAAACAUUAAAAACCACAGGCUUAAUACACAGGUCUUAGCAAUGCUACUGCGGUCUUUGUCUUUCUUUGAACCCUUCCCCCCUCGCUCUUCUACAUAAAGCAAAUAGCAGUGACAUUCUGCAGCCGCUUCAAUAGCAGAACAAACUGCAGCUGCAGAUAUUUAGUAGAGAAUUUGUAUUCCUAGGCAUCAGCUAAAAAGAAGGGCUGCUCAGCGUCAUUCAAACAAAAAGCCCCAAAUCAUGUAGCAGAUUGCAUGUCUCCCCUUUUUCUCUCAAAAUGAUAUGUCUUUAUGCUUCCUCUAGAGUUAUUUCCCUCAUCUGCGAGCUUCCUGCAAUAAAAAGUUGUUAUUUUUUCCAUAUUUUGAUUUUUGUUCAGGCACUUGUUUAUUUUUUUUUUUAAUGCCAUGAGUACCACAUUAAUAAACCACUUCUUCCCGUUGCCUUGAUUGUUCUGGUCCACUACAAUGGAAAUAACAUUUGAGUAUCAAGGCAAGGCAGGGGCAGAAAGUACAGUAGGUAACACUGAAAAAAAUCUGUAUUUAGCCAGAGGUUAGUGAUUAGUGGUGAAAGACAUAGUUAGGGCCAAACUAGAGCUCUAGUAAUCUUCAGAAGAUGUGCUAGAGUUAGACUUUUUGCAAAUGUUUGUAGUUCUAUUUUAUUUAGAAGGUAGUUGGAUGAAAGGCGAUGUUGCUGAAGAAAAUGUGACCAGCCCCCAGGAGCCAGAAAUGAUCAUUCCAGCAAGGCUGGGAGUGCAAUUUCUUGUUGGCUCAGGAGCUGGGAUAAGCUUUAUGUGCUUAUCCAAACAUACCCUUUAAACUCUCUGUGUUCAGCCGUCCCAUUAGGUAAGCCAACUGGCUUAAUUAUCCCUGAAGAGCCAGGCGAGGUGUUGGCUGCCUAGCACAUAACACAAUGUUCUCACUGAAAUUCAUAGCUCUGAAUUGAUUUUAUAAACGGCAGCUCUUUAAAAGGAAUCACGCAAGUGGGAUUUUGCCUGUGCAGGUCGCAAAAAGGUACAGAUACCAGAGCCUGCACUUACUCGCAGCUCCUUUUGGGACUGCUGCUGAGCUCCAGCUCUAGCGUAACCACCUUACCAACAUCCAUGCAGGGCAAUAACGCUGCACUGUGAUUCAAUACCUUGUCCUGUCGAGGACUUGGUGGCCUUCAGGUGCAGGGAAAAGAGUGAGGUCACUCUAAUAUUGUCAACCAAAGUGGUGUCUUUUACUGGCAUUAAAAAGUUUUAUGGAAGUCUGGGAACUGUUAGAAUGGGAAAAUGUCAUGGAAGGAACAGAUUUUUCUUUCAUUUACUUUGCGCACCAAAUUAUAGUUUGCGUGCACACUUAAUGUCUUGCGCCAGCACAAGCUCUGGUGGGUAUGCAAAGAAAAAGAUGUGCCUACUCAGAAGUCUUUCCCUGAAUGGUUAAUGUUCAUCUAACAAAAGGGAAGCAAAACAAAAGAUGUGAAACGGUCUUUCAAAUUCAUUGCUAUGCAGUGCCCUUUUGGUUCUGAAAGUCUCCUCGAGCAGUUCAGAGCACCAGCAGUUUCUGUGCUUCCCCUGUCCUUGUGCAGGGGGGAGCUACCUCCGUCUUCCACCUGGGGCCCUGUAAUAGUUUGUCUUCUCAGAGUUUGCAUAUUGAUCUGUCGGGUCUGGUUAUGAGCUCCGCAGAGCAAGGACCUCCUGGGAAGAGGGAUGUGCAUGUUGGGUGCUGCUGUAGGUAAUAAAUAGAGGGAACAUAACUAAAAAAGCCUUUCUGUGUCUUCACUACUGGUUUCUCAGAGGUAUUUUUUUCCCCUUCAUCUUCAGCGGAGGUACCAUUUGGGUUUCAGAACCAUGUAUUUUGGAGUCCCCAGCUGCUGGAGAGAGAAGCCAGCUGCUGCCCACCAGCGGGCUGGUCGUACCCACUUGCUGUUGUGAACAUCAGGUUUUUUCCACUCUGUGGAAAUACCCUGAAAUAUUUCAGCCCCUAAACCACCCCUGAAAGCCCCUUCCACAGGUCCUGCCUCCUGGCUAGCAUUUCCAGGCAGCAGAGUCUGUGCCUGGUGCUUCCCUCCCGAGCAGCAGGGCU